AUUGAACGCUGGCGGCAUGCCUUACACAUGCAAGUCGAACGGUAACGGGCCUUCGGGUGCCGACGAGUGGCGAACGGGGGCGUAAUACAUCGGAACGUGCCCGAUCGUGGGGGAUAACGAGGCGAAAGCUUUGCUAAUACCGCAUACGAUCUACGGAUGAAAGCAGGGGGCCGCAAGGCCUUGCGCGGACGGAGCGGCCGAUGGCAGAUUAGGUAGUUGGUGGGAUAAAAGCUUACCAAGCCGACGAUCUGUAGCUGGUCUGAGAGGAUGAUCAGCCACACUGGGACUGAGACACGGCCCAGACUCCUACGGGAGGCAGCAGUGGGGAAUUUUGGACAAUGGGCGCAAGCCUGAUCCAGCCAUGCCGCGUGCAGGAUGAAGGCCUUCGGGUUGUAAACUGCUUUUGUACGGAACGAAAAGCCUUCUUUUAAUACAGGAGGGUCAUGACGGUACCGUAAGAAUAAGCACCGGCUAACUACGUG
rnacentral:rRNA from 1 species